rnacentral:rRNA from 1 species
ACGAACGCUGGCGGCGUGGAUAAGACAUGCAAGUCGAACGAGAGAAUUGCUAGCUUGCUAAUAAUUCUCUAGUGGCGCACGGGUGAGUAACACGUGAGUAACCUGCCCCCGAGAGCGGGAUAGCCCUGGGAAACUGGGAUUAAUACCGCAUAGUAUCGAAAGAUUAAAGCAGCAAUGCGCUUGGGGAUGGGCUCGCGGCCUAUUAGUUAGUUGGUGAGGUAACGGCUCACCAAGGCGAUGACGGGUAGCCGGUCUGAGAGGAUGUCCGGCCACACUGGAACUGAGACACGGUCCAGACACCUACGGGUGGCAGCAGUCGAGAAUCAUUCACAAUGGGGGAAACCCUGAUGGUGCGACGCCGCGUGGGGGAAUGAAGGUCUUCGGAUUGUAAACCCCUGUCAUGUGGGAGCAAAUUAAAAAGAUAGUACCACAAGAGGAAGAGACGGCUAACUCUGUGCCAGCAGCCGCGGUAAUACAGAGGUCUCAAGCGUUGUUCGGAAUCACUGGGCGUAAAGCGUGCGUAGGCUGUUUCGUAAGUCGUGUGUGAAAGGCGCGGGCUCAACCCGCGGACGGCACAUGAUACUGCGAGACUAGAGUAAUGGAGGGGGAACCGGAAUUCUCGGUGUAGCAGUGAAAUGCGUAGAUAUCGAGAGGAACACUCGUGGCGAAGGCGGGUUCCUGGACAUUAACUGACGCUGAGGCACGAAGGCCAGGGGAGCGAAAGGGAUUAGUGACCCCUGUAGUCCCGGCAGUCAACGGUGCACACUCGGUCUGCGUGGAAUCGACGCCCUGCGUGCCGGAGCUAACGCGUUAAGCGUGCCGCCUGGGGAGUACGGUCGCAAGAUUAAAACUCAAAGAAAUUGACGGGGACCCGCACAAGCGGUGGAGUAUGUGGCUUAAUUCGAUGCAACGCGAAGAACCUUACCUGGGCUUGACAUGUAAUGAACAACAUGUGAAAGCAUGCGACUCUUCGGAGGCGUUACACAGGUGCUGCAUGGCCGUCGUCAGCUCGUGUCGUGAGAUGUUUGGUUAAGUCCAGCAACGAGCGCAACCCCUGUUGCCAGUUACCAGCACGUGAAGGUGGGGACUCUGGCGAGACUGCCCAGAUCAACUGGGAGGAAGGUGGGGACGACGUCAGGUCAGUAUGGCCCUUAUGCCCAGGGCUGCACACGUACUACAAUGCCCAGUACAGAGGGGGCCGAAGCCGCGAGGCGGAGGAAAUCCUGAAAACUGGGCCCAGUUCGGACUGUAGGCUGCAACCCGCCUACACGAAGCCGGAAUCGCUAGUAAUGGCGCAUCAGCUACGGCGCCGUGAAUACGUUCCCGGGUCUUGUACACACCGCCCGUCACAUCAUGGAAGCCGGUCGCACCCGAAGUAUCUGAAGCCAACCGCAAGGAGGCAGGGUCCUAAGGUGAGACUGGUAACUGGGAUG